UAACUGGCACCAUGAAGUCAGCACUGACUG
rnacentral:piRNA from 1 species